GACGAACGCUGGCGGCGUGCUUAACACAUGCAAGUCGAACGGAAAGGCCCUGCUUUUGUGGGGUGCUCGAGUGGCGAACGGGUGAGUAACACGUGAGUAACCUGCCCUUGACUUUGGGAUAACUUCAGGAAACUGGGGCUAAUACCGGAUAGGAGCUCCUGCUGCAUGGUGGGGGUUGGAAAGUUUCGGCGGUUGGGGAUGGACUCGCGGCUUAUCAGCUUGUUGGUGGGGUAGUGGCUUACCAAGGCUUUGACGGGUAGCCGGCCUGAGAGGGUGACCGGCCACAUUGGGACUGAGAGACGGGCCAGACUCCUACGGGAGGAAGCAGUGGGGAAUAGUGCACAAUGGGCGGAAGCCUGAUGCAGCAACGCCGCGUGCUGGAUGACGGCCUUCGGGUUGGAAACCGCUUUCGCCUGUGACGAAGCGUGAGUGACGGUAAUGGGUAAAGAAGCAACGGCUAACUACGUG
rnacentral:rRNA from 1 species